GCGUGAGUGAUGAAGGCCCUAGGGUUGUAAAGCUCUUUUACCCGGGAUGAUAAUGACAGUACCGGGAGAAUAAGCCCCGGCUAACUCCGUGCCAGCAGCCGCGGUAAUACGGAGGGGGCUAGCGUUGUUCGGAAUUACUGGGCGUAAAGCGCACGUAGGCGGCUUUGUAAGUCAGAGGUGAAAUCCCGGGGCUCAACCCCGGAACUGCCUUUGAGACUGCAAGGCUCGAAUCCAGGAGAGGUGAGUGGAAUUCCGAGUGUAGAGGUGAAAUUCGU
rnacentral:rRNA from 1 species